rnacentral:rRNA from 1 species
UACGUAGGGGGCAAGCGUUAUCCGGAUUUACUGGGUGUAAAGGGAGCGUAGACGGCGAAGAAAGUCUGAAGUGAAAGCCCGCGGCUCAACCGCGGAAUGGCUUUGGGAACUUUUUUGCUGGAGUACCGGAGAGGUAAGCGGAAUUCCUAGUGUAGCGGUGAAAUGCGUAGAUAUUAGGAGGAACACCAGUGGCGAAGGCGGCUUACUGGACGGUAACUGACGUUGAGGCUCGAAAGCGUGGGGAGCAAACAGG